GCAUGUAGCGCAGUGGGUUAGGCGCCCGCUCGCGAAGCGAGAGGUCGCCGGUUCGACCCCGGCCGGCG